AAUACGGAGGGUGCAAGCGUUGUUCGGAAUUACUGGGCGUAAAGCGCGCGUAGGCGGUCUGUUAUGUCAGAUGUGAAAGUCCUCGGCUCAACCGGGGAAGUGCAUUUGAAACUGGCAGACUUGAGUAUUGGAGGGGGUAGUGGAAUUCCCGGUGUAGAGGUGAAAUUCGUCGAUAUCGGGAGGAAUACCGGUGGCGAAGGCGACUACCUGGCCAAAUACUGACGCUGAGGUGCGAAAGCGUGGGGAGCAAACAGGAUUAGAAACCCGAGUAGUCC
rnacentral:rRNA from 1 species